UAAGGAAUAUUGGACAAUGGGCGCAAGCCUGAUCCAGCAAUGCCGCGUGCAGGAUGAAGGCCUUCGGGUUGUAAACUGCUUUUGUACGGAGCGAAAAGGUCUGCCCCAAUACGGUGGGCUCAUGACGGUACCGUAAGAAUAAGCACCGGCUAACUACGUGCCAGCAGCCGCGGUAAUACGUAGGGUGCGAGCGUUAAUCGGAAUUACUGGGCGUAAAGCGUGCGCAGGCGGUUAUAUAAGACAGAUGUGAAAUCCCCGGGCUCAACCUGGGACCUGCAUUUGUGACUGUAUAGCUAGGGUACGGUAGAGGGGGAUGGAAUUCCGCGUGUAGCAGUGAAAUGCGUAGAUAUGCGGAGGAACACCGAUGGCGAAGGCAGUCCCCUGGACCUGUACUGACGCUCAUGCACGAAAGCGUGGGGAGCAAACA
rnacentral:rRNA from 1 species